GAUGAACGCUGGCGGCGUGCCUAAUACAUGCCAGUCGAGCGGACAGACGAGGAGCUUGCUCCUCUGACGUUAGCGGCGGACGGGUGAGUAACACGUGGAUAACCUACCUAUAAGACUGGGAUAACUUCGGGAAACCGGAGCUAAUACCGGAUAAUAUAUUGAACCGCAUGGUUCAAUAGUGAAAGACGGUUUUGCUGUCACUUAUAGAUGGAUCCGCGCCGCAUUAGCUAGUUGGUAAGGUAACGGCUUACCAAGGCAACGAUGCGUAGCCGACCUGAGAGGGUGAUCGGCCACACUGGAACUGAGACACGGUCCAGACUCCUACGGGAGGCAGCAGUAGGGAAUCUUCCGCAAUGGGCGAAGGCCUGACGGAGCAACGCCGCGUGAGUGAUGAAGGUCUUCGGAUCGUAAAACUCUGUUAUUAGGGAAGAACAAAUGUGUAAGUAACUAUGCACGUCUUGACGGUACCUAAUCAGAAAGCCACGGCUAACUACGUG
rnacentral:rRNA from 1 species